CAAUGACGGCAUAGACAAUAGUCAAGCCACCGUAGAACGGAAGUUUUGCAAUUUGCGCAGCCGGAAGUUCAC